UGUGCAUGAUGCAAAAAUGGAACAACGUAGAACUAGUGUACGGGUGAUUAAUGGUUGCCAUGGACUUCGUGGGGCAAGGAGUCGGUUUCCACACUCUCUGAACUAAUCUAAAUCUAAUAUAUCAGCGGUAUCAUCAUGAUCUCAAAGACCGAGUUGGAAUUGUACUUAGCCAUGUAGUCAUGGAUGUACAGGGAACAGAGAAAGGGACUGAGCGCUCUACCCAGAGGUGUACCAGUGUUGAGGGUCAGAGUAGAGGAAAUAUGACCGAUCCUAACCACAGCGGUCUGUCCGUCAAGAAAACCGGAAGCCAGCUGCAAAUGGCAGCUCCAAAGAAAAGGGUCAGAAGAUGAGGGAUGAAUUUAUUUUGUAUUUUGGUGGUGACGAUAGAGUUGCUGUCGAUGAAUAGCAUCCUGGCAUGGAUGUUCUUAUUGUUAAGGUAAUCCUGAUCCGAGUGUAGUGCAAGAGGCAUGGCAUCGCUUGUAGACGUACAUUUCCGGAACACAAAUUGGUCUGGAAGAAUGGCACAAAUGAAUCUAAUCUUUCGAAGCACCGCUCGCUGGUUAGUGUUAGAGCUACUGGGAACGAUGAUGAAACACUCCAGACCAACAUAAACUUGAUUUUAAAUCUUGAUUUUUUCAGAAUAAGUCUUUUGGAAACUUGAAACACGAGCAGUUCCCAGAAUAUCAUAUUCAAAUUUUAGUCUGGUAUCUGAUGAAAGGCGGGCAUUUAUGAAGCAGUUUCUUUUCUGUAGUUAUAGAUGGGUGGCCUCUUAACAAAUGUGAACAAAGACACAUGGUACCGAAUGUCCACAUAUAGAAAACUGAUACAUUCAUGACUUACAGAAAAAUAUUAGGCAAUAAGUUCAUGACUUGCAGAAAAAUAUU